rnacentral:misc_RNA from 1 species
GAUGAAGAACGUAGUGAAAUGCGAUAAGUAAUGUGAAUUGCAGAAUUCAGUGAAUCAUCGAAUCUUUGAACGCACAUUGCGCCCUAUGGUAUUCCGUAGGGCAUGCCUGUUCGAGCGUCAUUACACACCUCAAGCUCUGCUUGGUAUUGGGCGUCGUCCCCUAAACGGGACGUGCCUCAAAGACCUCGGCGGUGGCGUCUUUGCCUCAAGCGUAGUAAUCUUUUUAUCUCGCUUUGGAGUCGAAGGCGUCGCCCGCCGGACGAAACCUUUAUUUUUCUAUCAAGGUUGACCUCGGAUCAGGUAGGGAUACCCGCUGAACUUAAGCAUAUCAAUAAGCGGAGGA